UACGGAGGGGGCUAGCGUUGUUCGGAAUUACUGGGCGUAAAGCGCACGUAGGCGGCUUUGUAAGUUAGAGGUGAAAAGCCCCAGGGCUUAACCCCUGGAAUUGCCUUUAAGACUGCAUCGCUAGAAUUGUGGAGAGGUGAGUGGAAUUCCGAGUGUAGAGGUGAAAUUCGUAGAUAUUCGGAAGAACACCAGUGGCGAAGGCGGCUCACUG
rnacentral:rRNA from 1 species